rnacentral:tRNA from 2 species
GGCGAGGUAGCUCAGUUGGUUAGAGCAGCGGAAUCAUAAUCCGGAGGUCGGUGGUUCAAGUCCACUUCUCGCUACCA